GCGUCGGUGGUUCAGUGGUAGAAUACUCGCCUGCCACGCGGGUGGCCCGGGUUCGGUUCCCGGCCGACGCA
rnacentral:tRNA from 1 species